UACGGGGGGGGGUAAGCGUUGUUCGGAAUUACUGGGCGUAAAGGGCUCGUAGGCGGCCAACUAAGUCAUACGUGAAAUCCCUCAGCUUAACUGGGGAACUGCGUGUGAUACUGGAUGGCUUGGAUUCGGGAGAGGGAUGCGGAAUUCCAGGUGUAGCGGUGAAAUGCGUAGAUAUCUGGAGGAACACCGGUGGCGAAGGCGGCAUCCUGGACCGAGAUUGACGCUGAGGCGCGAAAGCUAGGGGAGCAAACGGG
rnacentral:rRNA from 1 species